UACAGAGGGGGCAAGCGUUAUUCGGAAUUAUUGGGCGUAAAGGGCGCGUAGGCGGCUUUGCAAGUGACGGGUGAAAUCCCUCGGCUUAACCGAGGAACUGCCUGUCAGACUGCAUGGCUUGAGACCAGGAGAGGUGAGUGGAAUUCCCAGUGUAGCGGUGAAAUGCGUAGAUAUUGGGAGGAACACCAGUGGCGAAGGCGGCUCACUGGACUGGUACCGACGCUGAGGCGCGAAAGCGUGGGGAGCAAACAGG
rnacentral:rRNA from 1 species